AAGUCGUAACAAGGUUUCCGUAGGUGAACCUGCGGAAGGAUCAUUACAGAAAGUAAACGCGGAUCAAACCGCGAACUUUUAAACCUUUGACGAUUGACUCAUGUUGCCUCGGCGGGUUCUCCCGCCAGAGGAUACAUCAAAACUCUUGUUUUAACGGUGUUGUCUGAGCUACAAGCAACGAAUCAAAACUUUCAACAACGGAUCUCUUGGUUCUG
rnacentral:misc_RNA from 1 species